GACGAACGCUGGCGGCGUGCCUAAUACAUGCAAGUCGAGCGGACCUCUUCGGAGGUCAGCGGCGGACGGGUGAGUAACACGUGGGCAACCUGCCUGUAAGACUGGGAUAACACCGGGAAACCGGUGCUAAUACCGGAUAAUCCUUUUCCUCACAUGAGGGGAAGCUGAAAGACGGUUUCGGCUGUCACUUACAAAUGGGCCCGCGGCGCAUUAGCUAGUUGGUGGGGUAACGGCCCACCAAGGCGACGAUGCGUAGCCGACCUGAGAGGGUGAUGGGCCACACUGGGACUGAGACACGGCCCAGACUCCUACGGGAGGCAGAAGUAGGGAAUCUUCCGCAAUGGGCGAAAGUCUGACGGAGCAACGCCGCGUGAGCGAAGAAGGCCUUCGGGUCGUAAAGCUCUGUUGUCAGGGAAGAACACGUACCGGAGUAACUGCCGGUACCUUGACGGUACCUGACCAGAAAGCCACGGCUAACUACGUGCCAGCCGCCGCCGUAAAAC
rnacentral:rRNA from 1 species